ACUCGGUUAGUUUCUGAGCGGAGUUCGUGUCGUGUGGACGGGUUUGGAAACAAGUCAAGACCUCGAAAACCGUCGGUUCGAUUGUGCGUAGGAAUUACCUUUAUUCUCUUCUAACAGCUUGAAAGAAGAAAACGGGGCAAUUUGCGGCGGCAGAUUCGCCUGGAAAACGUAAUACCGCUAGUUGCAAGUGUUUGAUCUGGUGAAUUUAUCGAUUUAAUUAGUGGUGGCAAUGUCGCAUCGGCAGUGAAAGAUAUUUUUGCUUCCGAGAAGCCGUGUGUGAAAGUGUGGAAAAGGCUUUGUGCAAAUUUCAAGAGUCCCCCCUUGCUGAAAGGUAGGAGAAGAGUGCUUGGGGCGGUCGAAAAAAGUGAAGAUUUUAGUGCGGGGAGGUCUUCUACCCAUUGUUUUUUCCGCGUUGGAGAUUAUUUAGCAUCGGAAAAUGUCCUCCAGCUGGAAAGGAUUUAUUUUCGCUUCGGUGCUGCUGCUGGGAGUUCUCAAAUUGGCACUAGCGCAAAGCACGACGCAAGCGGCGGACACCGGAGGUGGUGGCACUAGAGGUUCACCUUUAUCACCCACAAGGGACGGAGGAGGAGGAGGACAGUGCAUUUGGUAUGGGGUGUGCAACAACGAAACGGCACUCACCUCCCAGUACUGCAGCUACGAUGGUCCUGCAAAGCCAGCCAGCACUCAAACCAAGGACCUGCUGAAGGUCUGGUGUAAGCAUCUGCUGGCCGACGAGGACGGAAAUGGAGCCGUCGAUACGUGCUGUGAUGCCGAACAGGUUCAAAUCCUUAACAACAAUGUCAAACUGGCGGCGAAUUUCCUCGCCCGAUGUCCCUCGUGUAUGGCCAACCUGGUGCGACACAUGUGCGAUUUUACGUGCAAUCCGAAGCAUUCCUCUUUCAUCGAGGUGAAAGCAACCGAGCAGAAUGAUAACACCAAGAAAGAAUACAUCACCGAAAUCGAUCUGCACAUCAUGGAGCAGUACAUGAACGGGACGUACAGCUCGUGCAGUCAGGUGUCGGUUCCCUCGACCGGUCAGCUGGCGCUGGAUCUCAUGUGCGGCGAGUGGGGUGCCUCUCGCUGUAGCGCUAGAAAAUGGUUCAACUACAUGGGCACCAAGGAAGGCAACUACUACGUACCCUUCCAAAUUAACUACAUCGCCCAUCAGAGCAGCAAUGACAGUGCGUUUACCCCGCUGAAGCCCCGGGUCGUGCCGUGCAGCGAGAAGCUGGAUGACAAAACACCUGCCUGUUCGUGCAUUGACUGCGAAGCAUCCUGUCCGCGACCACCGGCCCCAGCGCCCCCACCACAGCCCUUCGUGAUCUAUGGCUUCGACGGGUACGCCGUGGUUAUGUUCUUUGUGUUUCUGGUCUGCAGUGGACUUUUCGUGAUCGGCGCAUGCCUCUGCCAGUCCGGGAGCAACAACGGAGCCGAACUACUGGUGCCUGGAGACACAUUGCACUCGGACCUGCGCUCAACCGUGGGUCGCCGUUUGGCUGGUGGACUGUCUAACAGUGGCGAUUUGGGUACCGAUCGCGAAGAUUCGCCCUUACAAUCGAAAAGAUCGAGUGCCACAUGGGAUGGCGAGCAGGAGCUCCGACCGCACCCGAACACCAUCAACGGCGAUGACGACGCCGAAUCCGGAUACUUUGAGCGGCUAGGCGCCAAAACGGAAACCGCUCUGGAGAAGUUCUUUACCGCCUGGGGUACAACCUGUGCCAAACAUCCGUGGAUCGUGCUGCUGUGCGGUCUUCUGUUCAUCGUGGCCAUGGGAUUCGGAAUCAAAUUCCUGCACAUCACCACCAACCCGGUCGAGCUGUGGGCAUCACCCAACUCGCGGUCCCGUAUCGAGCGGGAAUACUUUGACUCGCACUUUGAACCAUUCUACCGAAUCGAACAGCUCAUCAUCAAAGCGGAGAACCUGUCGAACGUUGUGCACAACACUUCCAACGGGGUCAUCGAGUUUGGUCCGGUGUUCAACAAGCAGUUUUUGCUGGACAUAUUCGAGCUGCAGGAGUCGAUCAAGAAGAUUGAAGCAACUACGGCAGACAACAGGACCAUCGGAUUGCAGGAUAUUUGCUAUGCACCACUUACUGCGGAGUACAGAGGACCUACUCAGACGGAAGACUGCGUGGUGCAAUCGCUGUGGGGUUACUUCCAAGACGAUAUCGACACUUUUGAUGCCGAAGAUGAAGAUCCACAGGGAUUCCCGGUGACUUAUCUUGAUAAGUUGAUGCAAUGCUUCGGCAAUCCUUACAAUCCGGAAUGUUUAGCUCCCUACGGUGGUCCGGUAGAUCCCGCCAUUGCUCUCGGUGGCAUUCCUCAACCUGCCUCAGCGGAAGUGAAACCAAAGUAUGAAAAUGCAAAUGCCGUUAUAUUGACGUUCCUGGUAAAGAACUACCAUGACAAGAGUAAGCUCUCGGCUGCACUGACCUGGGAGGAGAGUUAUGUGGCCUUCAUGAAGAAUUGGACUAAGGCUAACAUGAGCAUAGCAUUCACCUCGGAGCGAUCCAUUGAAGACGAGUUGCGACGAGAAUCUCAGUCAGACGUUUCGACUAUUCUAGUCUCGUAUAUCAUCAUGUUUGCUUACAUCGCUGUUUCGUUGGGACACGUGAAUCAGUGGAGUCGAGCGCUUAUCGAUUCUAAGAUUACGCUUGGUCUUGGUGGUGUUAUAAUUGUGCUGGCUUCCGUCGUAGCCUCCGUAGGCAUAUUCGGUUACAUCGGACUUCCAGCAACGUUGAUCAUCGUUGAAGUCAUUCCGUUCUUGGUACUCGCCGUCGGUGUAGAUAAUAUAUUUAUCCUGGUUCAGACUCAUCAGAGGGACACCAAAAAGCCAACGGAGACCCACGCUGAACAUAUCGGACGAAUUCUCGGCCGAGUAGGACCAUCGAUUCUGCUGACAGCGGUCAGUGAGAGCUGUUGCUUCUUUUUGGGUGGCCUUUCUGAUAUGCCUGCUGUUCGUGCCUUCGCUUUGUACGCCGGUAUGGCCUUACUGAUUGACUUUUUCCUGCAAAUCACCUGCUUCGUGAGUCUGCUGGCGUUGGACACUGCUAGACAAGCUGACAAUCGUUACGACGUGCUGUUCUUCUUGCGGGGAUCGAAGAAGGACGUCCCUGUGAAUGCCAACAAGGAAGGCCUGCUGUACAAGUUCUUCAAGAGCAUCUACGUGCCUUUCAUCAUGCAGAAGCCUAUUCGGGUGGGAGUUAUGGUCGUAUUCUUUGGGUGGCUUUGCUGGAGCAUUUCCGUGGCGCCUCACAUCGACAUCGGAUUGGAUCAGGAACUCUCGAUGCCGGGAGACAGCUUUGUGCUGAAGUACUUCCGAUAUCUAGGAAAGUAUCUCAGUAUUGGACCCCCGAUGUACUUUGUCGUGAAGAGUGGACUGAAUUAUUCGCAACCGUACGAUCAGAACUUGAUAUGUGGCGGGCAAAACUGCAAUCUGGACAGCUUGUCCACACAGGUUUACAUUGCCAGCAAGCGGCCUACGGAGACUUACAUCGCUAGGCCCGCCGCUUCGUGGCUGGAUGAUUAUAUGGACUGGUCAGCUGCGUCAGAUUCUUGCUGCAGACAGUUUGGCAACGGAUCAUUCUGCCCUCAUGAUAUGACUUGUGACAAGUGUUCGAUAAACCUAACAUCCUGGAACCGUCCGACCGAGCCCAGCUUCCGAAGAUACGUGUCCUUCUUCCUGCAAGAUAAUCCCGACCCCAGUUGUGCUAAAGCCGGUCAUGCAGCCUAUGGCAAUGGAGUAAAUCUCAAACAGCAACUGGCCAGUACGUACAACGAUGUCGGGGCUUCGUACUUUAUGGCAUAUCACACUAUCCUGAAGACGUCCUCCGACUACUUCGAGGCGUUGCGAUCGGCUCGAAAGGUUUCCGCCAAUAUUACCAGCACGAUUCAUGCAAAGUUGCGGCUCGAAGGACGCAGCGAGUCGGAAAUCCAGCAGGUUGAAGUGUUCCCCUAUUCGGUGUUUUACGUGUUUUAUGAACAGUAUUUGACCAUGUGGCCGGACACGCUCAAGAGUAUGGGCAUUUCGGUGCUGGCUAUCUUCAUCGUGACAUUCCUGCUAAUGGGCUUCGACAUCCAUUCAUCGGUGGUCGUCGUGAUAACAAUUACGAUGAUCGUGAUCAACAUCGGUGGACUGAUGUACCACUGGAACAUCUCUCUGAAUGCCGUGUCACUGGUGAACCUUGUGAUGGCCGUCGGUAUCAGCGUGGAGUUCUGUUCUCAUCUGGUGCACAGUUUCUCUGUUUCGCUGGAGGAAACGCGGGAAAAGCGAGCAGCCGAUGCACUGACCAAAAUGGGCAGCUCGGUGUUCUCCGGCAUCACGUUGACCAAAUUCGGUGGAAUUCUGGUGUUAGGCUUCGCCCAGAGCCAGAUCUUCCAAGUGUUCUACUUUAGGAUGUAUCUGGGCAUCGUGCUGUACGGUGCCGCCCAUGGUCUCGUGUUCCUGCCGGUACUGCUGAGCUAUAUCGGCGCCCCCAUCAACAAGGUGAAGCUGGCCAACCAUCGACGGCAGGCACUGCAGGACACACAGGAAACCUCUCUCUCAACCCCCAGGGAUGAAAGAAUCUUUGUAUUUGACCGCAUUGAUGCCGAUGUCCAUGGUUAUUAAGUAUAUACUUCAUGUGGUAGUAGUAAAUGUCGUAGAUAAAACCAAACGCAAUAUACAAAAAGAAGCACAAAUUCAACUGUCUGCUGCAAUGAUCCCACUGUUUGUGCGUCUAUUGGUCCACCAAUAUUCGUAGGAUGAGAACAAUGAACAUGUUUUUGCACAAGCUAGGAUGUGAUGUAACCUACGUGUUUUGUGUGAAACUCUGAGCAGUAGACAACAGCUGCACUAGACCAGACGAGUGAAUUGACCUGGACCGCCGUUGUUUUAGAGAAUGAAUCACACAAGCUUGUAAUGCUGUCUUCCAUGAAGAAAUCAACUUUCCCUACUCAGGACGUGCUCCUCCCCUUCCCACUUGUGUAGUUUCGAAGCUAGUUUUAGCAGUGUGAGCGUUGAAUUGAACGAAACCAAAGAACAGUGAAAGAGUCAUGAGCUGAAGUACUAGCCAGCAUUUGUUCAGCAGGCGUGAUGUACCGCAGAAGACGUUCCACAACCGACGUCGCCACCCGCAACACCAACACUGAAAUUGAGAACGAUGAUGAUGACGAAGAUGCGGAUGAGAACUACCAAGGCCAGUUCUUCUACCAGCCACAGCAGCACUGGCCACAACAGCCGGAACAACGACGACGAGAGCAGCAGCCGGCUCUGGACAAACAACAGCAACAGCAAUCGUUCUACAGCACCACAGGAACCGACGGACACCAUCAACAGCAACAGCAGCGGCCACUCCACCCCUACCAACACGACACGCGAGCAUUCGUCCAUUCGGAAGCGUAUACAGAACAACUUACCGAACCUCUUCUGCAACCAUCAACCAGUAAACGAAGCCCCACGCACCGACCUGUAGGCAGUACGGGGACGUCACCCAAGGAAUCACCGUCCACGCAGAAACACCCUCAGCGUCGGAAAGUGGUCCCCGUGAUAGCCGCUGUCCCUACGACGGCCCCAGGAGACGACAGACAUGUGAUUCUAGACGACAAAUCGGUGGCUGCUGUUGCCGAGCAGGAGGUAGACUUCGACUAAAAGACGUAUAUAUCUAGUGUGGGUUUUUAGGGGAGAUGAGCCUGUCGGCGGCCAUUUUUGUACCAAUCCGACUUGUUGACGCUGGUUCAUCAACAUAACAAUUGGAAGAGCAGCAAAGACUUUUGUGAAAUGGAUUCCUAUUCCUGAAGAGGUUCACUGUUGCAUUAGAGAAGUAUGUUAGGUAAGUUAGUUGUGUACGCUGUCGGCCAGCAGAGUUUGUAGAUAUCGAGUCUUAUAUAUUUGAUAGAAGUGCGAAGUGCGGAUGUUGAAAGAAACGUUUAUGAAACUGGGACAAACGUUCUUACUGUAGACUUAUAUACCAAAACGGCUUGUAGAAGAAGGAGGUAAAUAUUUUGUACCAAAUAAACAAUCAGUUGAUGUGCAGAUUAGAAGCAGCAGGCGUCUCGAGCAAAAGGUUCAAAUAUUCUUAUGAAGAAAUCUUUAAACAGCGAACUGUUACGAAGUCGAUGAACGAGAAGGGAAGCGACGGGCUAGAGAAUGUUUAGCUAUUUCGGCUGUUUUGACGAUGGAGAUACAUGCUGAGUUAGGUAGAUCGGAACUAGAGAAUGUUCAUGGUCAGGGGGAUGCUAGUAAAAAAAAAGGUUGAAUGUUUAAAACUGAAUAUAAUAACUGUAAAUGUCUAGGGAAUAAUCCAAUCGAAAAGGGCUUAUUUUUUAGUUUGUUAUAAGGAAGAGUGAAGGCAUGUUGAAAUGCACGUUAUAGGUUCUGGAAGUCGUCUACGAGUUUGCGACGUGUGUAAGAGACAUGUCAUGAGUUGCAGAAAUGCGUUGUUAAACUGUAAAACCAUCUAUGAAAAUGAGAGUGCUUACUGAUUGCCUUACAUUUCAGUUCCUGUUUGGGUUAUCCAGUGGUUUACCUAUAUUUAGUAAAGAAAAAGAUGCUGAUUGUUUGAUUUCUAAAUUAUUUGUUCCCACCCAAUAUCGUCGUUUCAACCGUUGUCAUCAUCGUCAUCGCUCUCGAUUUGAAGUGAUUGAAGUAAAGUGCGUGUGGCCAGCAGAAGAUCAAAGAUUGAAUGACACUAGUCACGUGUUUCGCGUAUUUAUACCAUUUGAAAUGGAUUGAAUAAGUUUUGACCCGCUGUUUUCUAAUCUGUUCUCAGAAUUUUCGUUACACACUAAUGCUAAACACUGAUUUUGAGAAGCAGAUAUAAUCUAUUUUUGUGGAACGAAAAAGUUCUCCGAAAAAUAGGACAUUUUGUAGUGGCGAACUCUCCACGGGCGUAAAUCCACUCUAAUAAUGAUAAAUAACAAUAAUAAUAUGCAAUUUUGUGAACAAACGAUUACUUUUUCUCAAAAACUAUGCAAAAAUUCUGAGAAUUUGAAAUCAGCUUGCCAAUAUCUAUUCAAUCCAUUUCGAAUCGUUAAAUUGUCUGAAAUACUGUUGCCUAGUGUAAUUUUCCACCAUAGACAAUGUGUAUGUGAAAUUUACCAGCGAAUGAGUGUGAUGUUGAAUGCUGUGCGAGUGAUUAUAUGGUCAUACAAAGGCUUUCCAUGAGUUCAAAUGGAGCCCAUUGCAUAAUUAGUUAAAAUUUAUAAACUGGUAUUUCUCCGUAAAUCAAACAAAGGUGAUCAGCACUGGGUAAACGACGAGUACUGGCAAAACUUGCAGUGGCUUUAAGUAAACUCAGUUUCUUUAGAUUGUAACAUAACUAUAAAAUUGUGGUACCAUGUGAACAGAUAGUUUCUUCUAUAGGUUGCCUUUCUGAUAUUCAUCCUUCGAUACCAUAGUGUAGCCAAAAGUUGUAUUUAUAUGUGUAAACUGUAUUUGUUUUGCUGGCAUACAUGCAAUGCAUACAUAGUAGGGAAUAGACUUAUUUCAUUAGGGAGAAUUGUAUAAGUUGUUGCUCACACAAUCCGGUCCAUUAGGUUUGCUCUAUACACUAGUUUUGAGCUUCUUUCUUUCAAACACAGAAUGAGACGGCUUUAGACUAAAAUUUAUAUCUAGACAGAUCCUUUAGCUUUGCUUCGAAAACCAUUAGCCCUACUGUUAUGAAGUUCAAUGCUCUGUUUUUAUAACAGCUAAUCCUUUCAAUGAAUCCCAUACUCGGUCUAACAGCGUAUUGUCUUUCAUUUCUGGCUUAAACAGAGUGAUACAGUAAAACAAAGCCAUCCAUUUAUUUCGCUUAAAACACAAUGCUAUAAUGUUUCAGGACUAUGGGUGUUCGGGGCAGCGCUACAGGAUCCACAAAUUAUGUUAGCCCCACUUCCCCUCCACUCGGGGGCUGCUGGUGGGCUUUCUACGUGAUUCCAUUUAUCGAAAGUAUUUUAGACCAUAGGCAAAUGUAACUAUCUUUUCCUUCGUAGGGUCGUUCUAUAUUUAUCGUUAUAGUUUCGUUUUUUGAGGAAUAACAAUCAAUCAAAUGGAUUCUAAACUUAAACUAUUCUGUAGAACAUUUUUGUGGUAUGUUUUUUGUAUAAUUUGUUUUGUUCUUUGCAAUAGAAAAAAAGAGAAAUGUACUUUAUUAUGUGCAAGAAAAAUGUGAAAAAUAUACGAACUGAAUAGAAACGAAAAAAUCGUGUACAAUUGUUUUAUUUUUUAUUUCCCUGAUUUAUUUUUCUUAGAUAGAAAACAUGUUGAUGCUUGAAAACGGUUAGAUCGAGUCGUGAAAUGUUGCUUAAGCAAAAACAAGCUGAACGCUAAGGCAUGUAACAUAGAUAGCUGGUAAGGAUAGGAAAAUAGAUUAACUGCGAAUUGUUGGAGAACGUUGCAAACAUAAAGCGCUUGGAAACUAUCAUCUCAAAUUGUUAAGUUUAGAUUUUGGGUUGAUUCUUACCUCACAUUGCUAUAGGUACUUCAUGCAGGUCGUGCAUUGCAGGCUAUGAUCUUAUGAACUCUGGUACUAACCGAAACCGAGCUUCUGGGAGAAUACUGUUCACUUUGAGA